rnacentral:rRNA from 1 species
UACAGAGGGUGCAAGCGUUAAUCGGAUUUACUGGGCGUAAAGGGCGCGUAGGUGGCAAGGCAAGUAAGAUGUGAAAGCCCUGGGCUUAACCUGGGAAGUGCAUCUUAAACUGCCUAGCUAGAGUAUGGUAGAGGGUAGUGGAAUUUCCGGUGUAGCGGUGAAAUGCGUAGAUAUCGGAAGGAACGCCAGUGGUGAAGACGACUACCUGGACCAAUACUGACACUGAGGCGCGAAAGCGUGGGGAGCAAACAGG